AGUUUGAUCCUGGCUCAGAACGAACGCUGGCGGCAUGCCUAACACAUGCAAGUCGAACGAGGGCUUCGGCCCUAGUGGCGCACGGGUGAGUAACGCGUGGGAACCUGCCCUGUGGUACGGAAUAACUCCGGGAAACUGGAGCUAAUACCGUAUGUGUCUUGAGGGACAAAGAUUUAUCGCCAUGGGAUGGGCCCGCGUAGGAUUAGCUUGUUGGUGGGGUAACGGCCUACCAAGGCAACGAUCCUUAGCUGGUCUGAGAGGAUGAUCAGCCACACUGGGACUGAGACACGGCCCAGACUCCUACGGGAGGCAGCAGUGGGGAAUAUUGGACAAUGGGCGCAAGCCUGAUCCAGCAAUGCCGCAUGAGUGAUGAAGGCCUUCGGGUUGUAAAGCUCUUUCGCACGCGACGAUGAUGACGGUAGCGUGAGAAGAAGCCCCGGCUAACUUCGUG
rnacentral:rRNA from 1 species